rnacentral:rRNA from 1 species
GACAUCCAGCGAACUUUCCAGAGAUGGAUUGGUGCCUUCGGGAACGCUGAGACAGGUGCUGCAUGGCUGUCGUCAGCUCGUGUUGUGAAAUGUUGGGUUAAGUCCCGNAACGAGCGCAACCCUUAUCCUUUGUUGCCAGCGAUUCGGUCGGGAACUCAAAGGAGACUGCCGGUGAUAAACCGGAGGAAGGUGGGGAUGACGUCAAGUCAUCAUGGCCCUUACGAGUAGGGCUACACACGUGCUACAAUGGCGCAUACAAAGAGAAGCGACCUCGCGAGAGCAAGCGGACCUCAUAAAGUGCGUCGUAGUCCGGAUCGGAGUCUGCAACUCGACUCCGUGAAGUCGGAAUCGCUAGUAAUCGUGGAUCAGAAUGCCACGGUGAAUACGUUCCCGGGCCUUGUACACACCGCCCGUCACACCAUGGGAGUGGGUUGCAAAAGAAGUAGGUAGCUUAACCCUCGGGAGGGCGCUUACCACUUUGUGAUUCAUGACUGGGGUGAAGUCGUAACAAGGUAGGCGUAGCGAG